rnacentral:rRNA from 15 species
CACCAGGUUGAUUCUCGCCUGACUGUGGAUGCUAGUCCCAUAGAUUUAGCCAUGCAUGUGUAAGUGAAGCGAUAAGUGGAACGCGCGGACGGCUCAGUAACUGGGCAUUAGUAUUUAAUCUCUUUAUAUGGACAACCUCAGGAAACAGAGGGGAAAACAUAUUAGAUUCAUUUUAUAUAAGAAGAAUGAAUUGAGAACAAAUGAAAAUUUUUAUUUGUGAAAGAGAGUAAGAAGCCAUCCUAUCAGUUAGUAAGUAGGGUAAGGGCCUACUUAGACAAGGACGGGUACGGGGGAUUAGGGUUUGAUUCCGGAGAGGGAGCCUGAGAGAUGGCUACCAGGUCCAAGGACAGCAGCAGGCGCGAAAAUUACCACAGUCCACAUUGGAGCGGUAGUGAAGGGACGUAAAAACAAAGAUGUGUAGAUAACAUCUGUGUAACUGGAGGUCAAGUCUGGUGCCCAGCAUCCGCGGUAAUACCAGCUCCAGGAGUGUCUAUGAUGAUUGCUGCGAUUAAAAGGUCCGUAGUCUAAGAAUGAAACUUGUCCUGUAAUGUGGGAAUCUCUAGUACCAAAUACGACCGAGAAGAAUUCCAGAGUUAGGAGCGAAGGAGGGCUAGAUUAUUGAGCAGCGAGAGGUGAAAUUUGAUGACCUGCUUAGGAGUACAAGAGGCCGAAAGCGCUAGUCAAGAACGAAUCCGAUGAUCAAGGACGUAGGCUGGAGUAUCAAACACGAUUAGAGACCGUAGUAGUUCCAGCAGUAAACUAUGCCUACACUGUUGUAUUUAUGUUUUAUAGAUGUGAGUGUGACAGAAGAGAAAUCUAGUAGGGCUUUGGGGAGAGUACGCGCGCAAGCGAUAAAUUUAAAGGAAAUUGACGGAAGAACACCACAAGGAGUGGAGUGUGCGGCUUAAUUUGACUCAACGCGGGACAACUUACCAUAGCCAAUGAUCAAGUAAGCGUAGUACGCGAUAGAUCAGAGAGUGGUGCAUGGCCGUUAUCAACUAGUGAGGUGACUUUUGGGUUAAGUCCGUUAAGUAGUGAGAUCCCUAGGGUUGGCUAAAUAUGUGAUGCUUAUGUGUUAUGUGUUGAAGCUAUAUCGACAGGAGCGAGAAGCGCCGGAAGGAAGGGGCAAGAACAGGUCAGUGAUGCCCUUAGAUGGUAUGGGCUGCACGCGCACUACAGUGGUUACAAUAGAUAUUUUAUAGAAGUAAAUGUAAUCGAGAGGGAAUGAGCACUGUAAUGUGCACAGGAACGAGGAAUUGCUAGUAAUCGUUGCCUCAUUAAGGAGCGAUGAAUAUGUCCCUGUUCUUUGUACACACCGCCCGUCGUUAUCGAAGAUGGAACCAGGUGCGAACAAGCGAAAGCGAGUGAGUGCAGGGUUCUAGAUCUGAUACAAGUCGUAACAAGGCAGCUGUAGGAGAACCUGUAGCUGGAUCAACA